rnacentral:lncRNA from 1 species
GGAAGGAGGCCAGUGCUAGGAGGGUUAUCUCACUGCCUCAGAUGCUGGAUAAGUCGAAGGAAGCAGAAUCGCUUUUGGAUGACAUUCAGAAAGGCCGGAGUGAUUAUUUGGGAGAGAAAAGCCUGCCUAUUCUUUUCCAAGGUAAACAGUUCAUUUCAUCUGUUGGCUGCAUGUUUCGAUGUAAAAAUAUGUUUAUGUAAAGAUAUCUAUAAAGUUUGCCUUUAAAAAAAAAAAUCAUUUUAGGUGCGUGACUGUUCCCCUGGCCUUCCCAUCCACUGAUGAAUUAUUAGCAACGUGCCUUAGACAAAGGACGCAUGGGAGCCCCACCACACCUAGAGCCACGCUUUGAAGGAUCUGCCAAGCUCACUUUUAAUCAUGAGAAAGAAAUUACCCACAUGGAGUCAGCAGAAAAUGAGAAAGUAGAGCUCGUGCUGCGAAUAAUUCCAGCAAGUGCCAAGGGGCUAGUUGAGGAAUGGCUUCAUGAAGUGAAUAUCUUUAGCUUGUACUUAGGGUUUGGUUAGCGUAUAAUCAUUUUCUCUUUUAGGAGCGUUGACUAUCCUCAGUGUCUUUCCUCACUAAAGAGUGCUCAGAGCAUUCGUCAGGAUGUUGACAGAUUUAAUAUCAGUCUCGUCCUUGUUGUUAUUUACUAUGACUAAUUUUACAUGUGCAAAUAUGCAAAAAUCAAUUUAGGCGGAGAGGCGCUCCGG